GGAUGUAGUUUUUUUUUUUUUUUUUUUUUUUAAUACCUGCCUGUCACGCAGGGGGUCGCGGGUUCGAGUCCCGUCCGUUCCGCCA
rnacentral:tRNA from 1 species